rnacentral:rRNA from 1 species
UUGGCAAAUUGUUUAUUCCUCUAAAAAAUAGUAGGUAUAGCACUGAAUAUCUCGAGGGAGUAUGAAAAUAUUUAUCUCAGAUAUUUAAUCUCAAAAUAACUAUUUCUUAAAAUAAAUAAUCAGACUAUGUGCGAUAAGGUAGAUAGUCGAAAGGGAAACAGCCCAGAACAGUAAUUAAAGCUCCCCAAUUAAUAUUAAGUGAAAUAAAAGUUGUUGGAUAUCUAAAACAGUUAAGAAGUGGGCUUGGAAACAGCCAUCACCGAUUUGUUUUUUUAAUACUCU